AACAGGCAGAGCCUUUCCACUGACCUUAGGUGGCAUUUGAUCAGGCUUUGGAUGAUAGCAGAAGGAAAAGAUUCACAUUAAUCAAUGUGUUUAAACUAUGAGAUACCGAUCAAACCUUUAUCACAAAGUCCAGAGACAGUUAUACAAGGUCCUUGUUCCUGAAAAAGUCCAAUCUGAUGGUGCUGCUGGGGUGGAUGAGGACACCAAACCACGACCUGCACAUAUUUGCGGUAUGAGCAAAAGCCCAGCUAGGAGGUUGGCAGUAACCCAGUACCACUGCUGGUGCUGACCAGCCCUGUAAAGUGAAAAGCAUAAGUCAUUUGUAAAUCCUCCUGUAAGAGGGGACAGCAAAGAAGAGGGUAUCAGACCCAUCAAGGGACAUGGAAACAGAUGUGAAGGUUGUGUGGCUUAGCGUGUUCCAAGGAAUAAAAGGAAGAUGCAUUACUCAGGACAGCAG